UACAGAGGGUGCAAGCGUUAAUCGGAGUUACUGGGCGUAAAGGGCGCGUAGGCGGUUAGAUAAGUAAGAUUUGAAAUCCCCGGGCUUAACCUGGGAACAGGAUCUUAGACUAUAGGACUAGAGUGCAGUAGAGGGUGGUGGAAUUUCCGGUGUAGCGGUGAAAUGCGUAGAGAUCGGAAGGAACAUCAGUGGCGAAGGCGACCACCUGGACUGAGACUGACGCUGAGGCGCGAGAGCGUGGGGAGCAAACAGG
rnacentral:misc_RNA from 1 species